rnacentral:rRNA from 1 species
AACGAACGCUGGCGGCAUGCCUAACACAUGCAAGUCGAACGAACCCUUCGGGGUGAGUGGCGCACGGGUGCGUAACACGUGGGAACCUGCUCUUAGGUUCGGAAUAACAGUUAGAGAUGACUGCUACUACCGGAUAAUGUCUUCGGACCAAAGAUUUAUCGCCUUUGGAUGGGCGCGCGUAGGACUAGCUAGUUGGUGAGGUAAAGGCUCACCAAGGCGACGAUCCUUAGCUGGUCUUAGAGGAUGAUCAGCGACACUGGGACUGGGACACGGCCCAGACUCCGACGGGAGGCAGCAGUGGGGAAUAUUGGACAAUGGGCGAAAGCCUGAUCCAGCAAGGCCGCGUGAGUGAUGAAGGCCUUAGGGUUGUAAAGCUCUUUUACCUGGGAUGAUAAUGACAGUAACAGGAGAAUAAGCCCCGGCUAACUCCGUGCCAGCCGCCGCGGUAAAAC